AUUGAACGCUGGCGGCAUGCCUUACACAUGCAAGUCGAACGGCAGCACGGGUGCUUGCACCUGGUGGCGAGUGGCGAACGGGUGAGUAAUACAUCGGAACGCACCGUAUCGUGGGGGAUAACGCAGCGAAAGCUGUGCUAAUACCACAUACGCCCUGAGGGGGAAAGCGGGGGAUCGAAAGACCUCGCGCGAUUCGAGCGGCCGAUGCCUGAUUAGCUUGUUGGUGGGGUAAAAGCCCACCAAGGCGACGAUCAGUAGCUGGUCUGAGAGGACGAUCAGCCACACUGGGACUGAGACACGGCCCAGACUCCUACGGGAGGCAGCAGUGGGGAAUUUUGGACAAUGGGGGCAACCCUGAUCCAGCAAUGCCGCGUGAGUGAAGAAGGCCUUCGGGUUGUAAAGCUCUUUUGUCAGGGAAGAAACACCGGCUCUAACACAGUCCGGGAAUGACGGUACCUGAAGAAUAAGCACCGGCUAACUACGUGCCAGCCGCCGCGGUAA
rnacentral:rRNA from 1 species